rnacentral:rRNA from 1 species
AGAUUGAACGCUAGCGGGAUGCUUUACACAUGCAAGUCGAACGGCAGCGCGGACUUCGGUCUGGCGGCGAGUGGCGAACGGGUGAGUAAUAUAUCGGAACGUGCCCAGUAGCGGGGGAUAACUACGCGAAAGCGUGGCUAAUACCGCAUACGCCCUACGGGGGAAAGGGGGGGAUUCUUCGGAACCUCUCACUAUUGGAGCGGCCGAUAUCAGAUUAGCUAGUUGGUGAGGUAAAGGCUCACCAAGGCCGCGAUCUGUAGCUGGUUUGAGAGGACGACCAGCCACACUGGGACUGAGACACGGCCCAGACUCCUACGGGAGCAGCA